rnacentral:rRNA from 1 species
CGGGGUGGAGUAAUGCUUGGGAAUCUAGCUUAUGGAGGGGGAUAACUACGGGAAACUGUAGCUAAUACCGCGUAAUAUCGAAAGAUUAAAGUGUGGGACCUUCGGGCCACAUGCCAUAGGAUGAGCCCAAGUGGGAUUAGGUAGUUGGUGAGGUAAAGGCUCACCAAGCCGACGAUCUCUAGCUGGUCUGAGAGGAUGACCAGCCACACUGGGACUGAGACACGGCCCAG